GAUGAACGCUGGCGGCGUGCCUAAUACAUGCAAGUCGAGCGAACAGACGAGGAGCUUGCUCCUCUGACGUUAGCGGCGGACGGGUGAGUAACACGUGGAUAACCUACCUAUAAGACUGGGAUAACUUCGGGAAACCGGAGCUAAUACCGGAUAAUAUAUUGAACCGCAUGGUUCAAUAGUGAAAGACGGUUUUGCUGUCACUUAUAGAUGGAUCCGCGCCGCAUUAGCUAGUUGGUAAGGUAACGGCUUACCAAGGCAACGAUGCGUAGCCGACCUGAGAGGGUGAUCGGCCAAACUGGAACUGAGACACGGUCCAGACUCCUACGGGAGGCAGCAGUAGGGAAUCUUCCGCAAUGGGCGAAAGCCUGACGGAGCAACGCCGCGUGAGUGAUGAAGGUAUUCGGAUCGUAAAACUCUGUUAUUAGGGAAGAACAAAUGUGUAAGUAACUAUGCACGUCUUGACGGUACCUAAUCAGAAAGCCACGGCUAACUACGUG
rnacentral:rRNA from 1 species